rnacentral:rRNA from 1 species
UACAGAGGUCCCAAGCGUUGUUCGGAAUUACUGGGCGUAAAGGGUGCGUAGGAGGCAUUGUAAGUCAAAUGUGAAAUCUCUCUGCUUAACAGAGAAACUGCAUUCGAUACUACUUUGCUAGAGGAUCGGAGAGGAGAAUGGAAUUUCUGGUGUAGCGGUGAAAUGCGUAGAUAUCAGAAGGAACACCAAUGGCGAAGGCAAUUCUCUGGAAGAUUCCUGACUCUGAAGCACGAAGGCUAGGGGAGCAAACAGG